rnacentral:rRNA from 1 species
GUGGGGAAUAUUGGACAAUGGGGGGAACCCUGAUCCAGCCAUGCCGCGUGUGUGAAGAAGGCCUUUUGGUUGUAAAGCACUUUAAGCGAGGAGGAGGCUACCGAGAUUAAUACUCUUGGAUAGUGGACGUUACUCGCAGAAUAAGCACCGGCUAACUCUGUGCCAGCAGCCGCGGUAAUACAGAGGGUGCGAGCGUUAAUCGGAUUUACUGGGCGUAAAGCGUGCGUAGGCGGCCAAUUAAGUCAAAUGUGAAAUCCCCGAGCUUAACUUGGGAAUUGCAUUCGAUACUGGUUGGCUAGAGUAUGGGAGAGGAUGGUAGAAUUCCAGGUGUAGCGGUGAAAUGCGUAGAGAUCUGGAGGAAUACCGAUGGCGAAGGCAGCCAUCUGGCCUAAUACUGACACUGAGGUGCGAAAGCAUGGGGAGCAAACAGGAUUAGAUACCCGAGUAGUCC